ACGGCUCAGUAACACGUAGAUAACCUGCCCUUGGGUCCGGCAUAACCCCGGGAAACUGGGGAUAAUUCCGGAUAACGCAUAUGUGCUGGAAUGCUUUAUGCGUAAAAUGGAUUCGUCUGCCCAAGGAUGGGUCUGCGGCCUAUCAGGUAGUAGUGGGUGUAAUGUACCUACUAGCCGACAACGGGUACGGGUUGUGAGAGCAAGAGCCCGGAGAUGGAUUCUGAGACAUGAAUCCAGGCCCUACGGGGCGCAGCAGGCGCGAAAACUUUACAAUGCGGGAAACCGUGAUAAGGGGACACCGAGUGCCAGCAUCAUAUGCUGGCUGUCCAGGUGUGUAAAAUACACCUGUUAGCAAGGGCCGGGCAAGACCGGUGCCAGCCGCCGCGGUAACACCGGCGGCCCGAGUGGCGAUCGUGAUUAUUGGGUCUAAAGGGUCCGUAGCCGGUUUGGUCAGUCCUCCGGGAAAUCUGAUAGCUCAACUAUUAGGCUUUCGGGGGAUACUGCCAGACUUGGAACCGGGAGAGGUAAGAGGUACUACAGGGGUAGGAGUGAAAUCUUGUAAUCCCUGUGGGACCACCUGUGGCGAAGGCGUCUUACCAGAACGGGUUCGACGGUGAGGGACGAAAGCUGGGGGCACGAACCGGAUUAGAUACCCGGGUAGUCCCAGCCGUAAACGAUGCUCGCUAGGUGUCAGGCAUGGCGCGACCGUGUCUGGUGCCGCAGGGAAGCCGUGAAGCGAGCCACCUGGGAAGUACGGCCGCAAGGCUGAAACUUAAAGGAAUUGGCGGGGGAG
rnacentral:rRNA from 1 species